rnacentral:rRNA from 1 species
CUACGGGUGGCUGCAGUAAGGAAUAUUGCGCAAUGGAGGCAACUCUGACGCAGCCAUGCCGCGUGCAGGACUGAAGGCCUUAUGGGUCGUAAACUGCUUUUAUUUAGGAAUAAACUCUUGUACGUGUACGAGACUGAAGGUACUAAAUGAAUAAGCACCGGCUAACUCCGUGCCAGCAGCCGCGGUAAUACGGAGGGUGCAAGCGUUAUCCGGAUUUAUUGGGUUUAAAGGGUGCGCAGGCGGACUAUUAAGUCAGAGGUGAAAUCCCGGAGCUCAACUUCGGAACUGCCUUUGAUACUGGUAGUCUUGAAUACGGUUGAAGUAGGCGGAAUGUAGCAUGUAGCGGUGAAAUGCAUAGAGAUGCUACAGAACACCGAUCGCGAAGGCAGCUUACUAAGCCGAUAUUGACGCUCAGGCACGGAAGCGUGGGGAGCGAACAGGAUUAGAUACCCCUGUAGUC